CCUACGGGUGGCAGCAGUGAGGAAUAUUGGUCAAUGGACGAGAGUCUGAACCAGCCAAGUAGCGUGAAGGAUGACUGCCCUAUGGGUUGUAAACUUCUUUUGUAUGGGAAUAAAACGUUCCACGUGUGGGAUUUUGUAUGUACCAUAUGAAUAAGGAUCGGCUAACUCCGUGCCAGCAGCCGCGGUAAUACGGAGGAUCCGAGCGUUAUCCGGAGUUAUUGGGGUUAAAGGGAGCGUAGGUGGAUUGUUAAGUCAGUUGUGAAAGUUUGCGGCUCAACCGUAAAAUUGCAGUUGAAACUGGCAGUCUUGAGUACAGUAGAGGUGGGCGGAAUUCGUGGUGUAGCGGUGAAAUGCUUAGAUAUCACGAAGAACUCCGAUUGCGAAGGCAGUUCACUGGACUGCAACUGACACUGAGGCUCGAAAGUGUGGGUAUCAAACAGGAUUAGAUACCCUGGUAGUC
rnacentral:rRNA from 1 species